rnacentral:rRNA from 1 species
GACGAACGCUGGCGGCGUGCUUAACACAUGCAAGUCGAACGGAAAGGCCUGCUUUCCCUUGUGGAUUGCGGGUACUCGAGUGGCGAACGGGUGAGUAACACGUGAGUGAUCUGCCCCCAACUUGGGUAUAAGCCUGGGAUACCGGGUCUAAUUCGCGAUAGGACUGCAGGGUUGUGCCUGUCGUGGGCUACGAUUUUCUCGUGGGUGGGGAUGAGCUCGUGGCGUAUCAGCUUGUUGGUGGGGUGAUGGUCUACCAAGGCUGCGACGGGUAGACGGACUGUGAUGGUGGACAGUCACAUUGAGACUGGGAUACGACCCCGACGGCUACGGGAAGCAGCAGUGGGGAAUCUUGGAGCAUAAGCGUGAGCCUGAUGCAGCGACGCCGCGAGGGAGAUGUCGGGCUUCGGGUUGUAAACUCCUUUCGAGCGAGAGGAAGCCACCUAGUUGGAAGGGUGGUGACGGUAGUGGUAGAAGAAGCACCGGCUAACUACGUG